ensembl:snRNA U6 U6 spliceosomal RNA
AUGCUUCAGCAGGAUGUUUACCCAAAUUACUACAAUAUAGAGAUUAUCAUGGCACUUACACAAGGAUGAUAUGAAAAUUUGUGAAAUAUUCCAUAUUUUU